rnacentral:lncRNA from 1 species
UUUAAAAUGUAUCAGGGUCAGCUAACAACUUGAUGGGAACCAAAGAAAUCCUUCUCUGCCAAAAAAUAGAAUCCUGAACACAGUUGUCUUAGGCUGUGCUCCUUGGAGUAGAAACUCUCCCAUUUACAUCCCUUUUACAGAUUGUAGCUCCCACUCCAUCCCUGCCUAGUCCCCUGUGCUUCUCUCUUCUGCUCCUGCCCCCCAAAGUCCCUUCACAGAAGCCUGAGGCAGAUGGAACUUUGAGAUCUGGCCAGUAAUGCCCAGAGUCGUGCAUCUUCUAAGGUCCCAGGGUUCACCAAGCAUGUGCUUUCUAUCGUAAUAUGUCUUGGCAAGGGGUUGGACCCCUGAGAAAGAGGUCCUGACAACCUUGCAAUAGAACUGACAGCAGAGCUGGGGCUAAGUGGUGGAUGAUGGAGAUUCCCAGACACGCAGAGCCCAGGGUUGAAGGGAAACCUCUCCACGGUGACAGCUGAUACCACUGUGGGUGAGCACUUCCAUCCCUAGAGCUUCAUGGUUCUCAAGGGCAGCAAGAAUGCCCGCUCUGAGGUUGUCACUUACAAGUGUGGCACUGCAUGCAAAUGUGAGGAAGGCAUGUGGGAUGAUGAUGCACAACAGUGUAGUCCUCAUCCAGGGGGGCAUCCCACCCUCUACUCUCUGUUUGGAGAUGGGAAAAUUCAUAAUCUGGUGGAUGCAAUUGAGAACCACUUAAUUGUAAGAAACCCCUGCAGAAUGUAUGUGCACGGUGGUGUGUGAAAAAGCAGCUUGUUCUUGGAAAAUGCUGGACCCCUCCACCUUUUUUUUUUUUUAAAGACUUGACGUUUUUCUCCUUA